UAUAUUAUAGUUUAUAUAAAAAUAUUAAAUUGCAAAUUUAAAGAAAUUUAAUAAAAUUAGUAUAU
rnacentral:tRNA from 1 species